rnacentral:misc_RNA from 1 species
GUGAAUCAUCAAAUUUUUGAACGCAAAUUGCGCUUCCUGGCAUCCCGGGAAGUAUGCCUGUUUGAGGGUCAUUAUUAAUCAAAAAUCGGUUUAGGUACAAAUUGUGAGGUUUCCGGAGGUUGGGCUAUCUUAUCAUUUUUGGUUAAGAGGCUUAAAAUGGACGUCUUUUGCGCAUUUUUAAACGUACAUAAAUUUUUUUUAUUCGUCUACUCUUAAUGCCAAAAUCUUAUUAGAUGCGAUCACAUCGUUUGGCGUCGUGUCCAUAAAAUUUUAAUAA